UUGACGGGGCCGCACAAGCGUGGAGCAUGUGGUUUAAUUCGAAGCAACGCGAAGAACCUUACCAGGCCUUGACAUGCAGAGAACUUUCCAGAGAUGGAUUGGUGCCUUCGGGAACUCUGACACAGGUGCUGCAUGGCUGUCGUCAGCUCGUGUCGUGAGAUGUUGGGUUAAGUCCCGUAACGAGCGCAACCCUUGCCUUUAGUUGCCAGCAGUUCGGCUGGGCACUCUAAAGGGACUGCCGGUGUUAAACCGGAGGAAGGUGGGGAUGACGUCAAGUCCUCAUGGCCUUUAUGACCAGGGCUACACACGUACUACAAUGGCCGAUACAAAGGGCAGCGACACUGCGAGGUGAAGCCAAUCCCGUAAAAUCGGUCUCAGUCCGGAUUGGAGUCUGCAACUCGACUCCAUGAAGUUGGAAUCGCUAGUAAUCGUGGAUCAGCAUGCCACGGUGAAUACGUUCCCGGGCCUU
rnacentral:rRNA from 1 species